rnacentral:tRNA from 1 species
UUGGGUGAAGCUCAGUGGUAGAGUGCAUGCCUGGUAUGCACAAGGCCACAGGUUCAAUCUCUAGUCUCCUAAA